UCUGUGGUUCGAUUUGAUGACAGAUACUGGUGAUGACGGGAACUCGUCUUCUUCGGUUGCAGGAGUACUUGGUCAGCAGUUUUUUUUUUUGUUUCUUUAAUGUUUCAAAUAAAAUUGCAUUUACUGAAUUGGUAAUCAGAGUAUUGGAGCUGGUCUAUUAUACAGUAGUUUGGUACUAUGAAUUGCUGUGUUUUAUGAGGUAUCUCUUUUUUCUUGUCUAUCACAUUAUAUUUUCUGGGUUUUGGUAUAUUUGUCUUUUUUCUCGCGUCGCUGGCAAAAGGAAGGAGAUCCUGACCAUUCUUCAAAAUUGUGCUGUAAGUGAUAAAAAUUCAAAUUUUAUUUUAAUGAUUUUGUAUAAUUACUUGUUAUAGCAAACCUGCGAAUAGUGGCUGUCUUAUUUACGCUGGCAGGUUCUUGGUAUAGCCUGCGGCGUGCUUUACGGUUUGUGAGCGACAAAAGAGGGAGAGUGUGUACGAAGAAAAGAACCAGAGCGACAGAGGAAGCGAAUUCGACUACAAAAGGUUAUUAUCAAUCUUAGGGAGCACUUUUAAGCACUCUUUUAGACGUGGAUUAUGAGAUAUUCGUGGAAUAAAAGGUUUGUCUUCUUUCUUUUAUCAUAUUUUUCAGUUUAGUUUUACUUUUUUUAAGCCUAAUUUAUUUUUUAAAUUUUUUUGAUGGAGUUGGGGAGAGUUACAACGCUAUCUAUUUCUUCUUCAUCUAUUACAUUAAGUUUUAAAAGGUUUCAUUUAGAACUACAAAGAGAUCUACUCCAUGAUCACUCUAGUGAAAAAGAAGAUCUGUGGUUCAAUUUGAAGGCAGAUACUGGUGAUGGCGGAAACUCCUCUUCUUCGUUUGCAGGAGUACUUGGUCAGCGAUUUUUUUUAUUUUUCUAAUAUUUCUAAUAAGGUUGCAUUUACUGAAUUGGUAAUCAGGAUAUUUGAGCUGGUCUAUUAUACAGUCGUUUGGUACUAUGAAUUGCUGUGUUUUAUGAGGUAUCUCUUUUUUCUUGUCUAUCACAUUAUAUUUUCUGGGUUUUGGUAUAUUUGUCUUUUUUCUCGCGUCGCUGGCAAAAGGAAGGAGAUCCUGACCAUUCUUCAAAAUUGUGCUGUAAGUGAUAAAAAUUCAAAUUUUAUUUUAAUGAUUUUGUAUAAUUACUUGUUAUAGCAAACCUGCGAAUAGUGGCUGUCUUAUUUACGCUGGCAGGUUCUUGGUAUAGCCUGCGGCGUGCUUUACGGUUUGUGAGCGACAAAAGAGGGAGAGUGUGUACGAAGAAAAGAACCAGAGCGACAGAGGAAGCGAGUUCGUAUGAAAUUUUACCUCAUUAUUUUAUUAUUUGAUUAGUCAAUUAUUUUUAUUUUUUUACUAACUAAUCAAACAAUAAUUUUUAAAUUAUACUACCAUAACUUAGUUAAAGGAUGAAUUUGAACACUAAAAACCUACAUGACGAUAGAUCGAUAUGAACAAUGCAAAGCAAACAAAUUAUAAUUAGAAAC